GAAACUACUCAGUAAAAUAAACAACGCAAUUUAUUAAAACUAAAAUAAUUACAACACUUUGGUUACUUAUUAAAAUGACAUUUGGCAUAGAAUUUGAUGAUGUAAAUAAUGACAUCAUAAUUAUGACGUGAGAUUUUUUUUUGUAACUAUAAUGAAAACCCCGUCGUGCCCCAUUGUAGAAGCACGAUGGGGUACGUAUUUCUUUUGCGACACAGUACAAGCAGAUGUGGAUUUCUUCUAUAUUGACGUCACCGACACAAGCACAAGCUGUAUGAGCCCACCGUACAUAUAGUUGGCAAGCCACUCAACGAAAACUUUAAAUAAGUGUGGUUCAAGGCAGUACAGGCACAUGUUAUCCUCGUCGGUAUUCUUUACUCUAGAGGGAGCUUGUUGGGUCUUCUUUUUCUUAGGGUUCUUCUGUAACUUGGGGUCAUUUGGAUUAGAACACAGUCUUGUCUUAAAAGUUUUUCGUUAUUCUAUAUCUUGUGCUCGUAGCCAUGUCCCCGUCAUGCCCUCAUUCUCCCUGUAUUUAAAAUAACAAACGAAAUAAAAUAAAUGACGAUUAGAGUAUUUUCGUUCAGACAUAUCAAUUUAUCUUCAAAAUUAAAAUAAAUUCAAUAAUAGUAGCCACAUAAACACUUACCUUUCUAAAUGCGUAUUCGCUUCUACUGAAAAUUGCAUAAAAUUAGGUUAAAAAUCGUGAUUUGUUUUAAAUAUCAAACGCUCGCAGUUUAGUCGCCGGACCGCCGCGCGCCGCGCCCGUCUAGUUUCAGACCCAACCGACUCCUUUAUCAAGAAUUGACCCCUGAAUAGAAAAACGCAUCAAAAGGAACCCACCUUUACCACAUGGAUAUAUUCAGCGUUUAACAAAGACUAUGCCUUGGUAGAAAUAGAACUUAGAUAAAACCCUUGAAACUUUUGGUAAAAUAGCUUUCUACAUAUACAUAGACAUCUUUUUUGUCUCUGGAAUGUCGCAAACUCGACAAUGUCUGACCUCCACAAUAAGUACAUCAUUAAACGAGGAGUUUCCAAAGUUAAAAAUAACCUUAAAAGAUCAAUAUUCAAUUUAAUCAGCAUUCAACCCUUACGUAAAAGAUACCGUCAAUUAUAUCCUUUUUAAUUUUGAACGAUAAAUAAAAGAGUUGUGAGAUCAGCAAGAUAUUGUGCUCUCGACAUUAACACGGGUAUUGGCGGCAAAAUAAGAAAGCCGCCAUCUUGCGGUUCGUUACAAAGGAACUAAUGAAAAGCGAAUCCAUAAUGGGAUGAUGACGGUAGACGGAUCAUGGUUCGAAGAAACAUUAUUUCAUAAAUAAAGGAUUUCGUGCCUGAGAUGUAGGCUGAAGAAUCUAGACUUAAAGAAAAAGAUAUACAAAAUAAAAGCGAACAUAUAAUUAUUAAUUACCUAGUUUGUUUUGUCAGUCUAGUCUAUUUUUAACAUUCGUUACAUCGUUAUAAUCUUAUCGCUAAAAUAUCAUAACAAUAUAUGUAUUUUGUUUUGAUAAGUCACGUGACAUUGAUCUGUCACCUUUAUAGUAUAGUAGCACAUAGUAGUGUGAUAGUAGUUUGUGACGAUUCACCUUAUAAAUUGUAAUGUAUUUAGUAAAAUUGAAGAGUAAGUAUAAACAUGGUAUUAAACCGCGCAAUAUCUCCUAUUUCCCGUAUGGAGAUGGCAGAAUAAAGUGACAUAAAGUUCAUAGACCUUACACAUUUGAGUGUUUUCUUUAUGAUAACGAUUGUAAAUUUCAGUUGGCUAGAGACUGAAUAGGUUAGGUAUAAUAGUAGUAGGUACCUACGUCCUUCAUCUCUGGUCAUCAUAUAGGUUUCAGAUUAAGCCUAUUGAUAAUAUUCGCUCAAACAUUAACGCAAGCUCUCACACGUCUCCCCGCGAUCCGAUGUCUGCAGAUUCACGAUGAUAAAGCUUUCUUACGGACGAUUUAAUUAAUAAAACAUCCUCAUCCUAUUUUUACGACAGCACAUAGUGUUGGCGAUAUAAAAAAUCGGAGGAAUUCUUUAAAAUAAAUACUUUAUUUAUGUGUGUUGCGAUAGUUUAUGCCAAGUCAAAGGUCUCGAGUUCGAUCCCAAUUUUCUAAUCUUGUGUGCGGUUUAGAAAUGUUGCUAGGGCGGCAUAAAUUGGCACAGACUCUCCUUUAACACAGAACUCUAUCCUUAAAAUAAAAAAGGGCACAUCGCCUCUACUUUAUAUCCACCUAUAUGAAACAUACACGCGAUUUUUACACACCGGGAUUUAAAAAAAAAUAAGCACUUUAUAACAAUAUCACUUAAAGUCUGAAUAUCGUCUUUCUACUUUGUUUUUUACCACUCAACCCGACACUACGAUAAUCCAACAAGUGCUAGGCGUCAGUCAAAUCUCUGAGAACGAGUUACUUGUGUCAAAUACCUAUAAUACUCAGAUUACUUUAGAUAUGUCAGACCGUUAAGAAAUGCCAGCUUGUUUAUUAAAACACAUUACUGGUACAAAUACUCGGGUUUACGCUUCAGCCCACUCAGUCUUAAAAACACCGUUACCUAACUCUAAGGAUUUCUAUUUAGCUGUUUCUUGGUUUAAUUCUUUAUAAGAUUUAAAUUAGUAGACACUAGUAAAUGGCCUUUAUUUAUUGCAGAUGCCAAAGUACAAAAAGUAAAACACGCAAUAAAUUAAGACUUUAAAUAGCCCUUUAUAUAAGCAUAUAGCCUAUUUUUAACAACAAAAAUAUGUUCAUGUACAACACAACACAUAAACUACAUAUAUCCCUUAUUAAAUUAAAGUAUAUACAAAAUCGAGAUGUAAAUACCUCCUAACUUUUAUACUUCAACCGCACCUAGAUAUUUACUGCUAGUUGUAUCAGUAUUUCAGCUUUAUCACUCUAUAGUCACAUAUUGAAUCUACAUAAUAUAAUAGGUCAUACACACCUACAUACAUUGAUGAUACCGUGGCCGUGGGAGCCAUCAACUGGCAGAAAAAUAUUUGUGACGCGAUGACGUUAUAACAUGUACAGCAUUGUACAGCGCGAUGUAAAAACACAUUACCUUUAUACCUUAUAAUAAUCUCAACAUAAGAGAAAUCUUUUCGUAGUUCUAAAUAAACAAGCCUUUAGAUUCCUUUUUUGCUUUGGAAUCAUAGUACUCGAAAAGAAAACCUAAUUUCUAUCUGCCUAGAUGUGAAAAUGAAAACUAAUAUCAGUGCCAGUAUAAACAGGUAUUGACAUAAAUAUUACUAAGUGGCUAACAAUUUAUAACUUGCUUUAUUCAUUUCAAACUAAUUACUACUUAAUACGAUGAGUUGAUUAUCACUCUUCAACUCACAUACUAUUUGAUAUCAUUAUCAAACACCAUGUAUAUAUACUAUACCACAGUCGACGCAUUGUAUAUUGUAGUCUGAUUAAAUUAUGUGUUAUGCAAAUUCGAUUUUGGCAAUUCUAAGCCAAUGGUUAUCCCUUCAACGAGGUGAAGUAUUGCAACGCAAUGCCAUACACCGACACAAAACUGCGGAUGACGUAGCACAGAGGUUCAGGUUUAGUCAGUAAGAGUCUGACACUACCCAUUCCCAGCCUUAACAAAAAGGAGCAUGGCUUAGUGUAGAUACUACUUUAUCAUUUAUUAAAUACUAGCGGUCACCCACAUGGAGACUCACUGUAAAGCAUAAUCUUGUUUUCUUUAAGUUGAGCUAAACGAACUCUAUAAAGAAGAACAGUGUUAAAAGUUUGAUAUUCGGUUCAGUAUUUUUGCGUGCAUACUUACAUUUACAUUUCACAUAUUAGUAGGGAUGUUAUAGCUCAAUAUCCGUUUAUAAUAAUUUAGAUAUGUAACUUAUAAUUAUACGCAUGAAGUUUAUAUCCAAUUACCUAAGUAUAAAUAUCAUAACAUGUAGGUUGUCCUAUCCAUUAAAAAACCUGAACUAUAAAACACCAUUAACUAAAACGGAAAGCAUAACGAACUGGACAAUCCAUAAAUAUUCCUUCAUAUUGAAACACAAUUAUAAUUGGACAGGCGACGGAAUCUUGUCUUUUCAGCUAAGUCAUACAAGUGUCGGACGCACAUCGGACAAGAAAAUCACCGCAACGAUACACAAGAUACAUUACCCCUUCAUUUAUCUAGACUGGCCGUUAAUUGGAACGUAUUACGCAGUAUUUGUUAGUACAACACUCAUUUGCGGGCUGUUGAGGCCUAUCUAUCAUACUCAGCCUUAGCGAGUCCGAAGACAUGCUUUAUGACUUACGUUUAAGGCUGUGGGAAGUCUUCUUUUAAGAGCUAGGGCAUCAUUCGAUAGCAACGCUUUAAUAUGUUUCUGGAAAAAGCUGCAAUGUUCAUGCUGUAGAUCAUGUUGUUGAUCAGUGCGAAAAUACCUUUAAUGAGUGACUUGUCGGUCGUCU